AGUUAUAUUUUGCUGAAUUUCCAAAAGGAAAACGGGGGAACCAACGUUGGGGUGCAUUGUUUUGCUUUAUUAAAACAUAGGGUAGUUUCUAUCCGAACCCGUCAGCUAACCUCGUAAGCGUAUGAAACAAAUUUA
rnacentral:sRNA from 2 species